rnacentral:misc_RNA from 1 species
AUAGAAUCCAAAACAACAGUUCAUAUGACAACAAAAACGUAAAAUCAUGUCAGAAGAAGGAGCUAGCCUGCCUUUUUGCCGCAAAACCAGAAAGAACUAAGCAAGUUCAAGAGUCAUUUAGUCAACUGAAUGAUAAUCACCACAACGGAAUUAAGGGUGCUUGAGAUCAUGCAUCUAAAAGAAGACGCGCAUCAAUACUUUUGUCGAUCAGGUGAACUAGUCAAGGUGAAACAUGGAUCGCUGACAUCUUUCCAGCUCAUAUAUGAUAGCUUUGGUGAUAUAGGAGAUCCCAGAGAAGGUGAAGAGUCUCCUCCACAAGUUCCCAUUUUAUCACAUUGAGGAUCCUGAUCACACAUGAGCAGUUCUGGCAUCUCGUCUACCUCAAAGUGCUUCUUCACGGGGGUCUCUAGCUGGUACGUCAAAGACAUUGACUUCAUUGAGAGUUUAGAUGCAUGUGGAGAUGCUAGCGGCUGCACAGGGAUAUCAUUGUCUAGUCCAACUUCCUUCAGAAAAAAGUCCAUGUCGAUCACCUUCCUCUGUGCUUUGAUGCACUCCUUAUGAUCAUGCAGAAAUUGUUCUUCAGCUAUAGAAGUUGGAAUAUUUGCUGCUGCAGCAGCACUCCAUUUCUUAUCAAAUCCCUUCUUGGACCCCUGCUUUGCUGAUGGCUUGCUUGAGUUUGUAAGAUCAGUGAGAGCUUUCCUGCCACCCUUG